ACCAGACACUGGAGUACAGGAACUUGGGGAAGAGAAGGAAGGAGAUGGAUCCCCAAGACUCAGGAAAGUAUUGAAGGGAGAAUUGGAGCCCAAAGGCAGAUGAAGGUGACAGAUCUCAAUGAACAAGAGUGUGGUUGCAAACUGUGCUUUCUCCCUGAUCUGUGGCUAAUUGGAAAACUGCAUUCUCCCUGACUACUAGGUCAUGGCAUGAGCGAAGAGGCUUGGGCCUACAGAGGUGUGAUGAUGGUGGGGGACCCUGGCAGCUUCCACAGAGAAACACACCAGUUGAGUGGAGCAGGAGAUGCUGUGGGCUGCAGCAGCUGGGAUUGAGCAAGUAUUUUGAAACAACAACAACCAACCAAACAAGAAGAAAACCUCACCUAAAAGGUAACUACUAUUUUAAUGUAAACGAUGUAGUGGUAAAUUAUUGACCUAGUUCAUAAAAGAUUUUGUGAUUCUCUAAACUCUCUGAGCUCUGUAUGAAUUCACUGGCCUCAAAUUAAACUUGUGCUUAUCAGAGUGUAGUCUGGAAGAAAAAAAAAUCCAACUUGACAUAAAAACCCAUGAUGGGAUUUCAUGCAACUAAAGUUGGUUGAG
rnacentral:lncRNA from 1 species